rnacentral:rRNA from 1 species
GAUGAACGUUAGCGGGAGGCUUAAUACAUGCAAGUCGAGCGGUAAGUUUUAUAGCAAUAUGAAGACCUAGAGCGGCGCACGGGUGAGUAACGCGUACACGACCUGGCCUAAACUGGGGGAUAGCCUUGGGAAACUGAGAGUAAUCCCGCAUGUGAUUAUGUUACUGAUGGUGAUAUAAUUAAAGCUUCGGCGGUUUUAGGAUGGGUGUGCGUCUGAUUAGCUAGUUGGUAGUGUAACGGACUACCAAGGCGAUGAUCAGUAGGGGGCGUGAGAGCGUGACCCCCCCACACGGGUACUGAGACACGGACCCGACUCCUACGGGAGGCAGCAGUAAGGAAUAUUGGUCAAUGCCCGGAAGGGUGAACCAGCCAUCCCCGCGUGAAGGAUGAAGGGGCUCUGCCUUGUAAACUUCUUUUGUAUGGGGCGAAAAAGGGGAUUUAUCCUCGACUGACGGUACCAUAAGAAUAAGCACCGGCUAACUCCGUG